rnacentral:rRNA from 1 species
AACGAACGCUGGCGGCAUGCCUAACACAUGCAAGUCGAACGAGACCUUCGGGUCUAGUGGCGCACGGGUGCGUAACGCGUGGGAACCUGCCCUUAGGUUCGGAAUAACUCCCCGAAAGGGGUGCUAAUACCGGAUAAUGUCUUCGGACCAAAGAUUUAUCACCUUUGGAUGGGCCCGCGUUGGAUUAGCUAGUUGGUAGGGUAAAAGCCUACCAGGGCGACGAUCCAUAGCUGGUCUGAGAGGAUGAUCAGCCACACUGGGACUGAGACACGGCCCAGACUCCUACGGGAGGCAGCAGUGGGGAAUAUUGGACAAUGGGCGAAAGCCUGAUCCAGCAAUGCCGCGUGAGUGAUGAAGGCCUUAGGGUUGUAAAGCUCUUUUACCCGGGAUGAUAAUGACAGUACCGGGAGAAUAAGCUCCGGCUAACUCCGUG